CUGUCUUUGGACGGCUUUGUGGGAGGGAGCCUGCGCGCAGGAAGGGACAGGGCCUCUUUCCAGGGGACGGAAAGGCUAAAAAAGGCAGAGGAGAAUAGUGUUUACCGUUGGACAUCUAACAAGAUGUCCCAGAGGGACAGAGAAUUUGUCAUCUACAAAACAUUUAGGAGAGGUGGCCGUUUCUACGGUGUGAUGAAUGGCAGAGGGAUAUUUAAAGAGCUUCAUGACAGAUUUUCGUCAAUAGAGCCUUGAGUCAAGAAUCACCCAGAGUCACCCCUACCCCCUUCUCAUCAUGGGGGCAGACACAUGAAGGAUUAUAAAGUCAAGCUCUUUGGUUAGAAAAUAUUACAGCCGUCAAAAUUUUUGUUAUAGUUAAUGUAAUAUUAGCAAUUAUCAUUUUAAAUUAUUCUGAGCUAUAGUAAUACAGUAAUGAAAGCCCAACUGACUGAUAAAUUCCUAGAAUAGAUUGUUGGAAAAGAGGCCUCGUGGUGAUGACGGCUACCAGGAAGCCCAUUAUCUGAAUCGCUAUAAGGGUAUGAGAAACCCCGGUGUCUGGAGGAUGUCCAACUGUUGGGAUUUUAAGUCAUAUCGUCUCUGCAGUGUAUGCGGUGUCGUUCACUCAGCCAUUAUUCAAUCAACUAGCAGAGUACCAACCAUAUGGAAGCUACUAGACACUUUAGCAUGAUAAAGAGGAGAAGGAAGUUAGAAAAGCUGCCGCUCACAGGUUAAGGUUAGCCCAGAGAAAUGUCUUAGUUGGCCUAGAGGGUGUUUUUCAAAACUUGAACUGGCUACCAAUAAUUAAAAAUGGAAACAUUUUCCAUUUAAAAAAAAAAAAGUGUAUUUCUAGCCUCUUGAAAACUUGGAGGCUCUGGCAGCACGGAGCCUGCAUCCCCACCCAGCAGCGACACCCGGGCUGGGUGGUUCCUGCUCCCUCUGCCCCACGCCUCCAGCCUCCACUGGCCGGUGGCCUUCAGCUCCUUCUCAGCAACGUCACUGUCCCGGCCCCCCCGCCAGCACAUUGGAGCUUGUGGCCUCUGCUGUGGCCACACUGUUUUAAAUAAGCUAUAGCCCUUCAAAGGUUUGAACCUCCUUGUGGCAGGUAGGGGUUUCCUGGGUUUUCGUGGCAUAUUUUUCAAGACCCAGGGGCUUAAUUCUUUCUUCCUCACAUACGCAAAGGGCCCCUAACUACGAGGGACUGUGUGUCUUAUACUUCAGGCGCCUAGGAACAAGAAAACAACAGUGGAGAAGCAGUUAGUACAAGAGGUGGAGCGCCUGAAGGCAAAGGUAGAGGCCGGGAAAGCCUGUUUCUUAGAGAAGUACAAAGAAUGUCAACGACUCCACAGACAGAUCAGGCAACUCAGGGCCACUGCGCAACUGGAAGUGAAGCAGGACCAGAAGAGCCAACAAGAGCCACUGGGGAUGGGGAGCCGGGAGCCUGCAGUGAGCCCUGUCAUCGGGUAGCCCCUCUCGAGUUACUACCUCAGGGUCGGCUAGAAGCGCACAGCGGUUUGGGCACCAGCGUUCAAAUAAAAAAUCUUGGGAAAAAAAAAACA